rnacentral:rRNA from 1 species
UACGUAGGGGGCAAGCGUUGUCCGGAUUUAUUGGGCGUAAAGAGCGUGUAGGCGGCUAGGUAGGUCCGUUGUGAAAACUCGAGGCUCAACCUCGAGACGCCGGUGGAAACCAUCUAGCUAGAGUCCGGAAGAGGAGAGUGGAAUUCCCGGUGUAGCGGUGAAAUGCGCAGAUAUCGGGAAGAACACCCGUGGCGAAGGCGGCUCUCUGGGACGGUACUGACGCUGAGACGCGAAAGCGUGGGGAGCGAACAGG